AGGGUCUUAGAGUUCUGUAAUUUUCAGACUUUUUGUAAGCAGUAGACCCAUUUUUCAGGUCACUUUCAUGAAUUCAAAGGCAAUUUACCAGUGAUUUCUGGGUGCUGGGGCUGAUUUUUUUUUGUGCGUAUUU
rnacentral:lncRNA from 1 species